rnacentral:rRNA from 1 species
CCUACGGGCGGCAGCAGUGAGGAAUAUUGGUCAAUGGGCGGAAGCCUGAACCAGCCAAGUCGCGUGAGGGAGUAAGGCCCUACGGGUCGUAAACCUCUUUUGCCGGGGGGCAGUGCCCAGCUCGUGAGCUGGGAGGGAGCGUACCCGGAGAAAAAGCAUCGGCUGACUCCGUGCCAGCAGCCGCGGUAAUACGUGGGGGGCGAGCGUUAUCCGGAUUUAUUGGGUUAAAAGGGUGCGUAGGCGGGCCGUCAGGCCAGCGGUAAAAUUACGGGGCUAAACCCGGCAGAGCCGUCGGAACCGGGGGCCUUGAGUACCGGAGAGGUACGCGGAAUGCGUGGUGUAGCGGUGAAAUGCAUAGAGAUCAGGCAGAAGCCCGAUGGCGAAGGCAGCGUACUGGCCGGUCACUGACGCUGAGGCACGAAAGCGCGGGUAUCGAACAGGAUUAGAUACCCGGGUAGUC